rnacentral:lncRNA from 1 species
GCCGUUACCGUUUUCAACAUUACAAACCCAUUCACCUUCAUCAACUCACCUUCCGACCGUCACCAACCUCCGCCAUGAUUAUCGCUAUGAAAUCUCCUCACCCAAAACACCUUUCAAUCAACUUACUCAUAGCCUCGCCGCAAUUACCAACUCUGAUACGUCUCUAAUUCCGGUUUCCACUCUGAUUACUUUCGAUUAAUUAAGCUUGUUGAUAAGUUUUCUGUUUAGAUCUGUUGCAGGUUCUAGCAUCGAAGUUACUUUUUCCAGGAGAGAAAAACGUUUGAAAACAAUGCUCCAUAUCUGUUCUACCGAAGCUACAACGCCAACUCGCGUGUGCUCAACAACAAUGAAGCGGAAGCAUCAAACAACAAUGGAACCUUGUUUCUUCUUUUUUUUUGCUUUAAUGCGAUUGGUUUUGUCUGUUUAUUUUUUGCAGCUCAUUGCCGGCUCAUAAUCGUUGCGGGUUCGAUUCAGGAUCUAAUAUAUUUUGAACUGAUUACGACAUCGUCAGAGUCCAUUCCAUUUCUAACCGCACAAGAAUAACCACCGUGUACACAUCUCAUGGGAAUUGGCUAUCUUUAGAAUGAGCCUUAACUUUCAAUGUAUGUCUUAAGUUUAAUUUUAUUAAUGCAUUUCGUGAGGAUAAUGUUCAGUAAGAUUUUGUUUUAUCAUAGUCAUGGUAAAAAGCAAAUUUAAUGCUUAUUUUUUAACAUGUAUGUUAAUUGAUCUUAUAAAGAUUUUUCACAGCUUAAAAAUAUUGUUAUGUUGUGGACUAACUUAUUCUUUGUUUAUUUUAAGCAAUCUACAUAAUUAAAAAAAGGUAAAUUACAACUACAUUUACUAAUUUACAUGCAUGAUGUACUUGGAUUUGUCUUUAACAGGUAGCAUAUAUUACAUAUUGCAAAUAAUUGGAUUUUAUUUAUUAAAUAUCAUGUAGAUAUUACAUUAUUACAUUGAGUGGUGUUAGUUGUAAGCUCAUGCAUUUUUUUUCUUUGUUGAAAUGAAAUUCACGGAAUUGGCAAGCUAUACUUAGGCCACUAAAAUUUCAAUAUACUGAUUUGUCAUUUCACCAUUGUUCUACCCUCACAUACGAAACUCAAACUCUUUGUCGCUAUGACCAAAUCCGUUUAUGAGCAACAUGUGGCCGAUUCAAUCGAUUUAUUUAUAUUCAAUAUUUCAUAUUAUUCUUUUAAAAUUAAUUAAUUAAAGUUUUGAUUAAAUUAGAUAUUUUAUUAACUAUUUUAAUUACUUAAUUAUUUGAUCUAUAUAAUACUUAAUCAAAACAAAUUUUGAUAAUAAUUUUUAAUUACCUAUUAACGACUUAACUGAAUUUUAAUUAUUAAUUUGUUUAAAAUUGACCGACUUAUUUCCCAUCAUUUUUUCUAUAUCAUUUCAAUAUACAAACUCAAAUUCCAUUUCAUUUCCAAAACCAUCAAAAUUGCAUAUCCAUCAUUCAAUGGUCGAGACCAUUUUUUCAAUACCUUUGUUAAGCAUCGCUUAAAGCAUCGCCAUGAACCUCACAUAGCUUACUCUUCGGCCUUUUCAACAUGAGAUCAUUCGGUUAUAAUUAUCGAUAGGGUAUGAUUUAUACACUAAAAUAAUCCAAUUUAUUCAUUAAAAAACACAUCCAAGCCUCGAUUUUAACAUCGAUAUAUUCUAUUCAAACAAUUAAAGUACUAAUCACAUCUAAACAACACUUCAUUUGAAAAGUGAAAAGGAGGAGUUUUGAGUUUUCAACUCCUCUCCUCGAUUAUUUGAAUACGGAGUUUUCUUAACUCGUGUUAGUCCAAUAUGGUCGUCAUUUCUAAUUCAUUUAAGCACAAAGCAAAUCAAAUCCUUUUACAACAGAACUAAAAGGGAGAUACUUUGAGUCUUCAAUUUUUUGCUCCACGACUAUUGAUACAAGUUCUCUUACCUUGGCUUAUUCAAAUAAUUUCGUUCCUUACAAACUUCUAAUCCAUAAAUCAAAUUAUUUUCAUAAUCAAUGCCUAAAUGAAAAGGAGAUGACUUUGAGUCUUCAACUUCUCUCCUCAAUUGUUUGAAUUACGAGUUCUCUUACUCGGCAGUUCCGAAACAAUUUGUCAUUUUUUACAAACAUACAACUUAUCACAAUUCAUUUUCAUAACCCCCAAAACCUUUACACGAAAAAGAGAUUGGUCUUGAGUUUUUCAAAUUCCUCUUCUCAAGUUGGAUAUGAAUGCUACUCAUUCAUUCAGUACUUGUUCGUUCAUUUAAAAAUACAUCACCAUACCCAACCUAUUUCUAAAUCACUCAAUGGGAAAAAAACUGUCUAUAGUCUGUAUUCCCUUCCAAUAUUGGAUACAUUGUCUUACUCUUAUUCGGAUAUCAUCAUUCAUCAAAUACUAUAAUAUCAUUAAAUCCUUUUACAAUAAGAUAAAAAAGAAACAGGUCUAGAGCUCUUCUAGUCCCUUUUCCCGACUUUAGAUACGAUGUCUUACUCGACUAUCCAAGGAAUUGGUCUUCCAACUAAAAACAUCUCAACCAAACCAAAAAUAUCCAACAUAUUAUUCAACCUCACCCUUGAUCAAAAAACUUUUUCAAAAAAAACGACAUUUAAUCCUUUAAUACCACAACAAACUAAUGCUUAAAGCCUCCCACGAGUAGACAACCAACGUUAGCCUUUAGAUCGAUCUAAACAUUCGUUCAUUAAAAGACACCAAACCAAACCGUAGUUCCCGAACACGAAUCUCUUGAUUUCCUAUAUAUCCAUAGGAACUAGGCACAAUUGUUGUAUUUCGCCGUGAGCACAUUAUAAAAAUAAAACCUCCCCUUUCCCUUUCUGAGUCACAUCCAUUUCAUUUUUUAAUAAAUUAUAACCUAAAGAUAACCAAACAAAACAUUGAAAUUAAUACCCGUAAACACAAAUUAGAACUAAAAAGUUCGCUUGAGUACAACGCGUAAGGUGCUAAUACCUUUCUCUUACGUAAUCCACUCCCGACCCGAAUAUGCGUUGCAUGACCAUUAUUCUAUUUCAAUUUUUAUCGAUUUCCAUAUCCUUCAUUGAUAAAUUUAAAUCGUGCGAUCUUCGAACACUAUUUUUCCGCGACCAUCACAGGAAAUCGUAUUUCGAGAUCACAGAUGGCACUCUGCUGGAUACCUCCAACAAAGAGUAGCCUAGUAUAGUUCCAUUUCAUAUUGGGUGGUUAAUCUGUUUAGUCUUUAUCUGUUAUUUAUUUUUUAUUCUGCUAUUAUUAUUCUGUCAUAAUUAUUAUAUUGUGACUUAUUGACUAUGUCUUAUUUGGGGUUCUCUGGUUGGUGAUACUUGGUGAGAUAGGCUCUCCACCCGAGUCUGAGAAAAAACAUAAGAUUAAGUUGGUGGUUGCAUAGUGGGCGCCCGCAAGGAGUUUUCCUUGUUGGGAAGAAACGAAGACCCCGCCUAGAGGAGAUUCUCUUGAGAUAUUAUUGUCCGACGAGUUUUCGUCAUGACGAUAGUAUUCUCAAGUUGGAUCAAUGACUCUAGGGACCUUUUAACCCAUUAUAUCCGGCGGUUAUGUAGUAUUAACCUACAAAGUUUCAGACUUGUUGGGUUAAUACGAAAGCCCCAAUCAGAUGAGAUCCCUUGGACGUAUUAUUACCUGACAGUAAUAUUUCCAACCUCGAUCUAUGACUCUGAGAACCUUUUUAGAACCCUGGACUCGAGAGUCGUGUAGUAGAAUCCUCAUGGAGUUUUCCUUGUUGGGAUAAUACAAAGCCCUCACCUAGACGAGAUCUUCUUAAGGAUACUAUUGUCUGACGAGUCUUCGUCACGGCAGUAACGUCCUCAAGAAAUAUCCAUGACUCUGGGAACCUACCAACUGUAGAGCCUACCCAUGGGGUUCCAUUAUUCAGAGAUACCCGUCGUUCACCCGUUAUUCUGAUCUAUCUAAAAACACUUUGAACCUGUGAUCCUGAACAUGUCACUACACUCAUACACAUAUCAUUGCAUCUGCAAUCGUCAUGCAUUGCAUAUCAUUUUUCACCAAAAAAUAUAAAUACAAAAAAAAAACUCAUUCAUCCUUCAUCCAUAACCUACAGUUGAUUUCCCGACACUUAUAUCAGACUGAAAGAAGCUCUUGAAAAACCAUGGAUCCAUUGGAGCAAAAUCACAUUGCAUUAAGAGGAGAUGUUGACUUGAUGAAAAACCAGAUAGACCAACUUGUGGAGGCUAUGAUAGCUUUAGAAAAGAGGGAGGACAACAUUCAGCAGACUACAGUCGUAGAGAAUGUUAUUCUAGCUCUAGUAAAUGGUCUUACCCAACCUCAGCUUGUGCAAACCCCAGUUGAUAACUCCACUGUACAAGAACGUCAUGUUGUUCAAGAUUCCUCACGUCAUGAUGCUGUUGAGUAUCACAGUUUUGCAUUCUCCAUGCCAGAUUCCUAUGGAACAAGCCUAGUGGUUAAUGCUAAACAACCACAAGAUGAUGAGAUUGCUAAAAGAUGUUGCAUGCUAGAGAAAAGACUCAAGACCAUAGAAGGACAAGACACUCUUAAACUGAAUGCUUUAGACAUGUGUUUGGUACCUGGCCUGGUUAUACCCGCAGAAUUCAAGCAACCAUGGACUGUUCCUCAUACAAAUCAAAGAUCUCGUGGUCAAGGAUAUCAUAAUCAACUACUGAACCAGCAUAAGCCUCGAAACAAUCUGGAAAGAAGGAAUGCUCCUCUCGAUCUAAUUCCUAUGUCAUACAGUCAACUUUUGCCAUAUCUGAUUCAAAGCUCACUGGUGGAGCCCAAGUCUCUCAGGCCAUUGUCAGAACCAUACCCACCUGGAUAUGAUCCUGAUGUGCAAUGUGGAUAUCAUGCCGGAACAAUAGGGCAUUCAACUGAAAACGCAAUCUUUCUAAGGCUAAAUUGCAACCAAUUGAUCGACCAAAAAGUAUACAUAUCCUUUUCAAAGAAGCUGUUGUGCACGUUAAUCUCCUCGUCAGAAUGCAGUUUCAAAAUUUAGUAGAGUAUUCUUCUCUGCCAGUAGUUCAGACAGGAAGACAUCCUCAACACUGGCAAUCGUUGGACUGAUUUGUUUCUAUUUUUGCAUUUGUAGUUUCUUUGUUGUUAAAAGCUGCUUGUGUUUAAACAUUGUUUGUUUUUAAUGGUAAUAUUAAUGAAGUAAUGAUGCAUGUUUUGAAUUAAUCAUCUCGCAUUCGCUCAUUUUUCUUCUCUUAUAUCAAAAACAAAAAUACAUCACUGUUUCACCCAUUCGCUUUUCUUUAUCAUAACCUUUGUUUUAGCAAAGAUUUGAGGGAGGAUGACGAAAACAAGUUACCCAUAAUUGCCGACUAUAUGCUUUCGGAUAAAAUCCCGCUGAUGAUGUACAGGCAUUGUUUCAAAUUCCCAAACACUGGAGAGAUAAGGAGUUAAUCCCUAGUCAACCACUUCGAGCCUGAAGUAGGAGUUUCUUUCGGAUCUUAAAAACCUUACACUAAACCUGGGGCAGGGUAGUGUUCAGUUAAUCUGACUAUGCAUUCAAAUCACAAGAUGAAAUAUCCAGUAUGUGGAUCAACUACAUGACAUUCUUCGCACACAUCCUAAAGUGUCGAAGGAACCUUGUUCACAAGAUGAAAUAUCCAGUAUGUGGAUCAACUACAUGACAUUCUUCGCACACAUCCUAAAGUGUCGAAGGAACCUUGAAAAAUCAAAAAGUUAUGACGGUUGUUCUUCAAUGACCAAUGACUUGGCAAUCACAUUCUAAAAAAGGGAAUCAAUAAAAAGCCCGCUAAGUCGAUACCCCAAAAGGAGACUUAUGAAAAAACCGGGGCAAUCCCGAUGGACUAAAGCUUCAAAAAGCGGUCCAUGCAAAAGUUAGGGAUCAAAACAAAAAUCAAAGGAGGUCACAGAAACCCUCAACAAAAUAAAAACAAGAUUUAGUGACCACCAUAUCAAGAAUCAAAGGGUCACCAAUAUCCAUGAAGAACAAAAUAAAGUGUCUGUCAUUUCAAGAGAUCUUACACCUGCAAACUCUCUUAAAAGUUGAAUGUGUAUGGCGAAUUAACUGAGCAUAGGACUGGAGUUUAUCAAGAAGAAGGGUGGGUACAUAAACAAUUUUGAGCCUCAUAUCCUUUGUUUCGAUAACCGUGAACCAAGCCACGUUACAACCCUUAAAAGACCUAAUUGAAGUAGGGUUUAUUCCGAAAGCAUACUACAUCAAGGUUGCGUAAACUGACUCCUAAAAAUUUGCUAAUCUUUUACUUUGGUACAAUCUUCUUGUUGUAUCCUUCGCAUUGUUAAAUCAUCAUUGGGUUUGGAUUAAAAUGGUCCACUCGUCACACAUUAUCACAUCAUUCAAAUAAAUUCUUUUCAAAACUUGCAUGAGUAUCGCAUUAAAAUUACCAUUUCUGAACAAGCAAUUUUAACUGCAAGUCAGUACUUGACGUCAGGGAAAUUCCAACAAUAAGGAACAAUUAGAGGAACUUGGGCAUUCGUUGGUGCUAACCCGAAUCAAGACUACCUCAUAACCCACGAAUCAGGUGCAUGCCACCCAAAACAUCAAGUUGAUCAUAGGAAAAUUACUCCAAGAAUUGGUCAGUCUUAAACAGUCUCCAACAUCUGUUAAUAAAUGUGCAAAUCAUUUCAAGAAUUAGUUGAUCCAGAGCAAAUUAUCUCAGGACUCUAUUAACUAGGGGCAGAUCACCUAGAGGUUCUGUUGGCCAGGGGCAGACCCCUUCAAUGUUCAGUUAGGGUGAGUUAAGUCGCUUCAACGCUCAUACCGGGGCAAGCUACCUCAAGAGUACAGAAAAGUCAACCGCUCCAAGAGUCGGUUAACCAAGGAUAAAUCCUUUCAUGGAUCAAAAUUCUGGGGCAAUCCAUCUCCAAAUUAUGGUACAAUUGCUUUCAAAAUCCUUUCGAGGUAAACAUUUUGCAUAGACCCAUCACAUUGGGGCAAGAUGAGCCAUACAGGAGCAAGUCAUCUCCCUGACUUGAAGCUGUUCAAGCGAGAGCUUUUUCACACGUCAUCAACUGCAGAGUUCAAGAUGAGUGUCGGGGAAUCAUGCUAUCAUCCCAUAAAACAGCCAUCUGGCAGACAGAAGCCUUUCUGCAAAGAACCUUCUCUUCCAAUACCCACGCAGGGGCAUUUUGAAAACCUUCAAAUCAUUGCAUAAAGCAUCCUCAUGCAUUAGUCAUGUCACUUUGCUCUAAGAUAAAACCAUGCAUAUCAUAAAAUUCAUGGGGUCUAACCCCAUAACAUGAACCUGGCAUCAAAAAGCCUUGAAACACAAAAUCUGACACCAAUGCCCAACAUCGCUUGACCAUUUCAAAGUCCAGUUCUCGUCUGGCAAUUUAUUUCAAAGUCCAGUUCCCGUUUGGCAACUUAUUUCAAAAGCCCAGUUCCCGUCUGGAAAACCUUUUUCAAAAAAAACAGUUCCCGUCUGGCAAUUUAUUUCAAAGCCCAGUUCCCGUCUGGCAAUUUAUUUCGAAGUCCAGUUCUCGUCUGGCAACUUAUUCCAAAGUCCAGUUCCCGUCUGGCAAACUAUAUCAAAAAUCAGUUCUUGUACGACAAAUCAUUUGCCAAAUACUAGUUCUCGUCUGAUAAAUUAUCUCUUAAUACCAGUUCUCGUCUGGUAAAUUAUCUCUUAAUACCAGUUCUUGUCUGGUAAGUUAUCUAUUAAUACCAUUUCUCGUCUGGUAAAUUAUCUCUUAAUAUCAGUUCUCGUCUGGUAAAUUAUCUCUUAAAUACCAAUUCUCGUCUGAUAGUUAAUUAUUUUCACUAGUUCUCGUCUGGUAGCCUACUUUAAAAAUUAGUUCCUGUUUGACAAACAAAAACAAAUUCAGUCCUAUCUGACAUUUCAAUUAUUUUCACGAGUUCACGUCUGGUAACAUAUCCUUCAAGUGUUGUCCUCAUCUGGCAGUUCAAUCUCCUUCACCAGUUCUCAUUUGGCAGUUCCCAUUCUAAGUCCACACUAUUGGCAUCAAACCGCAAAGCAAAAAUGUCUUAACUAGGGGCAUGUCCAAAUACCCAUUUGCAUUCUAACAUGCAUCAUGUAAAUCAAUCAUACAUGGUUUUCCUACCAAACAGAAAAUUCAAAAAAACACAGUCAUAUCAAUCAUCAGCAUACUCAUGCAUAACACUCCCACAAAAUGGGAAUUUCAAUAAAAAAAUAAAAAUCAUUUGCAUUCCUACAUGCACAACCAAAUAUCCCCAGCAAUUGCAUACUUGCAUGCAUCUCAUACACCACCCCAUACAUGGUAUUCCCACCUAAAGUGGGACAUCAUACAAAAAUCAAAAGUAAAAUGUCAGGACCCAAGGUCAUUCAUGUAUAUCUUGGAUAUUCCUCAUUCCAAAUGAAGUUAUUACCCUGCAUAUGCUCGUGGGAUUAUAUCUCAGUAAAUCAUUUUUUCGACUUUAUGAUUAAAAAUGAUAUUUCCAACAUUUUUCUUUACAAUCAUUGCUCCCCAAGCAGAGGUUACCCUAAAAAGUCUCUUAUGAGCUUUUCCCCUGCAGAGCAUUUCUAGUAAAUCUCCCUCAAAAGGAGUAUUUUCUUAAAAAUUCCCCCAACAGACGAAUGUUCGAGAUACUGCUUCAUUUAUCUGAAGAAUCUCAUUUUUCUGUUUGAGAUACUGCUCUAAUAUCCUCGGAGAGUCUUAGAUUCAAUUAAAGUAUUUUUCCCUUGCUGGAAUAUUUUAAUUCUAUCAUAUAAGAUGUUGUUUUGACUCGAUACAGAGAAUCUCAUUUUUACUGUUUGAGAUACUGCUUCAUCAAUAUGAAGAGUCUCAUUUCAGAUUCUUUUAGAGAUACUGCUCUAAUAUCCUCGGAGAGUCUUAGAUUCGGUUAAGGUAUCUUUCCCUUGCUGGAAUAUCUUAAUUCUAUCAUAUAAGAUGCUGCUUCGACUCGAUACAGAGAGUCUCAUUUUUGCUGUUUGAGAUACUGCUUCAUCAAUAUGGAGAAUCUCAUUUCAGAUUUCUAGUCUAUGACGAGAUUCAUAGGAGCCUCUGUCUUAGAUUCAAUUAAGGUAUCAUUCCCUUGUUCGGAAUAUCUUAAUUCUAUCAUAUAAGAUGCUGCUUCGACUCGAUACAGAGAAUCUCAUUUUUACUAUUUGAGAUACUGCUUCAUCAACAUGAAGAGUCUCAUUUCAGAUUUUUUUAGAGAUACUGCUCUAAUAUCCUCGGAGAGUCUUAGAUUCAAUUAAAGUAUUUUUCCCUUGCUGAAAUAUUUUAAUUCUAUCAUAUGAGAUGCUGCUUCGACUCGAUACAGAGAAUCUCAUUUUUACUGUUGAAAUGCUGCUUCAUCAAUAUGAAGAGUCUCAUGCCAGAUUUUCUUUAUAUUGCUCUAGCAUCCUGGAAAACUCUUGAGAUUUAGCUAGGAAUGUCAUUCUAUUACUAACAUAUCUCGACCAUGACGUCCAAGAUACUGUUCUGACGACUCCCAGAAAGUCUUGGCUGUUCCAUUUUACUUUAGGAUAACGUCUCUCACUAUUUCUCACUGCAUUUUCUUCCUUGCAUUUCAAAGGACAAAAUUUGGGUCUUUUCGUAUUUAAUUAUCUUCCACUACGAAUGUAUGAAGACUCUUGUCGUUCUUACCUUCUAGUUCAAGAUAAUGAAAUAGGGGCAACUGUCAUACCCCAAUUUUGUCCGGGCAUUUUAAAUUUUCAUAAAUUCAAUUUAAUUUUCAGUUUACAACAUAUGUACAUCAUAAUAUGCAUUUUAUCAUUAAUAAUACCUGAAAUAUCAGUCAGGAUAAACUUAUUAAAAAUACAGACAAAUCGGUUGAAUCUUUUCUCAAGUACGGACCAAAUCAGCGGGUAAAAAAUUUCAGAAUUAAAAUUACAGACAUCAGUAUUAUUAAUCUACAGUUCAUGUAGUUUAACCUGGUGUGCUCGUUGUAUUUUUCAGCAGCUGUUUCAGUUGUGUUUUGACCCGCCUGAGCCUUUUAACCGAUGCAAACUUAUUCUAGAAUUUGAAGAAACGCUGUAUUUUUUCAAUAAGUAUAUUUUGUGCUGAUCAUUUUAGUGUGUCUGAUUUAAUUUUUCGAGCAAAUUUUUGUCCGAAUUUUAUUCAUUUUUAGUCGUUUUAAUUUUAUUCUUUCGUCAAAAUAGUCAGAUUAAAUAAAUAGAAUUUUUCAUGUUAUUAUUUUAAUUUUAUCAUGAUUAUUUAAAAAGUUGUGAAUUUUAUUUGAUUCAAUUGAUUAAAAUUGUUUUAAAUCGAUUAAGUCAUCUAAAAAAAGGCAUUAUAUGUAUUUUGAUUUAUUUAAUUAGGAUGUGUUUCUUUGAUUCAAUCUGAAUCGUUGAUUCAAAUUAAUCAAAGGCCCAUGUUAGCAAUCCAUACUCAUUUCCAAUAUCCAAUCAUAAAAUAGAAAUUUAAAUAAAUAGUUAAAUAGAAAAUUAGAAAAUAUUAAAAAAUAUCUCUUUCAAUCCAAUUGCCAGGUGCCACGUGACAAUCUUAUCUUCUUGUGAAUGGUACAGGCUUGGCAAAUGGUCCUAUCACUCCUUUCCAACGGUAACAAAAAUAAUAUUAAAAAAGGGAGGCAUACGUUUCCAUGGGCCACUUACAUAUUAACUGAUGCUCUCUCCUCCAAAGAUAGAAAAAAAUGAAAUAGAAAGUGAAAAGGAGAAAGGUGGAUUCACGUUCACGAUAAAAUAAUAAAAGAAGGAAAAAGAAGAAAUCUCUCUCACUCACCUCACUAUCACCCACCUCCACUAACAAACCAAACCCUCGCCGUUUACCGUUUUCAACAUUACAAACCCAUUCACCUUCAUCAACUCACCUUCCGACCGUCACCAACCUCCGCCAUGAUUAUCGCUAUGAAAUCUCCUCACCCAAACACACCUUUCAUCAACUACUCAUAGCCUCGCCGCAAUUACCAACUCUGAUACGUCUUAAUUCCGGUUUCCACUCUGAUUACGUUUCGAUUAGAUUAAGCUUGUGAUAAGUUUUCUGUUUAGAUCUGUUGCAGGUUCUAGCAUCGAAGUUACUUUUUCCAGGAGAAGAAAAACGUUUGAGAAACAAUGCUCCAGAUCUGUUUCUACCGAAGCUACAACGCCAACUCGGCGGUGAUUCUCAACAACAAUGAAGCGGAAGCAUCAAACAACAAUGGAACCUUGUUUUCUUCCUUUUUUUUUUUGCUUUAAUGCGAUUGGGUUUUUGUCUGUUUGAUUUUUUUGCAGCUCAUUGCCGCUCAUAAUCGUUGCGGGUUCGAUUCAGGAUCUAUAUUCAAUUUUGAACUGAUUACGACAUCGUCAGAGUCCAUUCCAUUUCUAACCGCACAAGAAUAACCACCGUGUACACAUCUCAUGGG